UGCCUUGGCGACCGCGUCGCGCUCGAAGCCGCAGCCUCCGCCCCCGCCGCCGCCGCCAGAGCCCACCCGGCGGGUGCAGAUUCCCUUUGUCUCCUCCGCCUCCCCUCCUCCCUGCUUCCCUGCGUCCUCCCCCUCCCGCCUUUCCUUUGUCGCCCCGGAUUCCCCGGCAGCCGCCCUUCCUGCGCUCCGCUCCCGCUGCAGGUGCCCGGGGCCGCGAGGACAGGCCUCGCCGCCACCCCCACCCGGCCUGCCCAGUGCCUGGCAUGAAACCAGUGUUUCCAAAAGCGGUGCCGGGCUGAAGCGCCGCACAGGAACUUGCUUCCCUCACCUGGGCGGCCUCGCUGGCCUCUAGCCGGCCUGUACCGCGCAUAGCAGAGCUAGGAGACAUGACAGCCGCCCCCUUUAAGGACCCAAGAGAUUCCCCACGGACCUCUUCCCCUUCCUUCCGUUUGAGAGGGAGCGGUGUCACUUGGUGAGAGGGAGGAGACGGGAGGAAAAGGAGGUGAGACUCGACGUCCAGUGCCCUCUUGGCCUGGCUUGCUCGGCCUUCCCUGCAGCGAGGCGGGGCGCACAUCCCCUACCCGGGCCGCAGAGAACCUGUCGGCCGCCGAGUUCUGCAGCUCGAUGGCAUUGCGAGGCCGAAAGCAGAAUUUCCAGGACCUCUGAGAGUUGAAGUCGUUAUUCGGGGGGAGGGGAUUCUGUGAGCAAAAUGUGCUGCUGUUAGCAUUCACGGUCACCUGGUGAUGAAGAGUGCUGGGGAUUUGGCCACAGUAAUGGCCCUAACCCAGAACCCUCUUUGUCCUGGAGCAACAUAGCAGCUCUAGUGGCAGUGGCGUCAAACAUCAGAUUGGCUCAUAUUCUAGCCGAUACCCUCUUAGUGUGUGCCAGUCUUAGUGUUGACUGAUACACCCUAAGUGGGACUGUGGUUGCUCAUGAGGAGGGAAACCGAGGCCAGGUGAUAGGGGUGGAAGGAAACACGCUUUCCCUCUAAAUGCUUUGGGACCUGUGAAUAUCAUACCAUGUGCAUUUCUUAUUCACUCUUUAAAAUCAAAUGUUUUUAAUAUCACUUCUUCAAGAAAGUGUUCACUGACUCCCCCGAGAGUAAAUAAGAUAGAUUAGGUUUCCCGUCACGAUUCCAUUGCAGUCUGUACUUUUACCGCGAGAGCUCUUCGCAGAAUUAUGAAUAAACAGUAAUGAGUGUGCAACUCAUGUUUACAAGAGUCUUCCACACCAGGCUCUGAGCUCCAUGAGGGCAGGAGCAAGACCUGGCUUAUGCAUCACUGUUCCACAAGGGCUGACACACAGGCUUUAGCCAAUGUUUGUUGACGAAAGAAAUGAGAAGGGGACAAGAAAGAGGGUGAUGGCGGAGUGGUGGACCAGGUGCUGUCCAGAGGGUGAUGACAGAGUGGCAGGCCAGGUGCUGUCCAGAGGGUGAUGGCAGAGUGGCAGGCCAGGUGCUGUCCAGAGGGUGAUGGCAGAGUGGCGGGCCAGGUGCUGUCCAGAGGGUGAUGGCAGAGUGGCGGGCCAGGUGCUGUCCAGAGGGAGAGCCGGGGUGGCAGGAGGGGUGCCCAUCUCCACAUCCUCCUCUGAGCUCUGUGACCCUUGGGGGCUCAGCCGCUCCUUCACAGGCACUUCUAGAAUGUUGUUCCAAAUCAUUCUUGUAAUUCUUCUUUCUAGUAUAUGUUUAAAAAUUGUCAUAAUAAAAAGUGUGAUAAAUCAA